GAAAGAAGAAACUAUCUUUUCAGAGUUAAGUUCAAGCUUAGAUGGGAAUUAAAUAAAAUGAAGGAAAAAGGGGAAAGCCCCAUCGGUGGGGACAUUGUUAGUGGUGUAGCAGAGUACUGGUGGUGGGCCACAGCAAGCACGGUCCAAUUAGCCUGGGCUAUUUCCAUUUACAAAAAAGGGUAUGCCUGCGAUUCUCGUCUCGUGCCCUUGAAAGCAUUUGCCGUCGCCUCUCUCUUUGUUGGUGCCACCGCCUCCACCUCCACCUCCACCUCCACCUCCGUUGCCUUCCUCCGUGCCUCUGGCAUCGAGUCCGUUUGUACUCUUUCUCUAUCUAUACAUUGAUUAAUGAAAAUUUAAUUCUUGAGAGAAAUUUGUCUGAAAAGAGACAGUUAUUAUUGUUACUUUGAUAUGAUAACUUAAGUGUAGAAAGAAGUAAUGGCAAUUUGUCUGAAAAGAAACAAUUAGCUAGGCAAUUUGACCUUUUUUCUCCUUUUUUUGGUUUAAGAGUAAUCUAUGAUUUAUGUGCAUCUAGCAGUGAGAUUUGAUUACGUUUGUUUUGCUUAGUGAUACUUGCAAUGAUUUUAGUAGUUUAAAUUCUUCCGUAAUGGAUAUCAAAGGGAAAACCUUUAAAAAUUUCUGCUGUCA
rnacentral:lncRNA from 1 species